rnacentral:rRNA from 1 species
UCUCGGCUCUUGCAUCGAUGAAGAACGUAGCGAAAUGCGAUACUUGGUGUGAAUUGCAGAAUCUCGUGAACCAUUGAGUCUUUGAACGCAAGUUGUGCCCGAGGCCUUGUGGCCGAGGGCACGCCUGCUUGGGCGUCAUGGCAUCGUCGCCUUUGCUCCUUGCUU